rnacentral:lncRNA from 1 species
UACUGCAUAUCUUUGCUUCUCUACACGUUAUCUACCUUUCGUUGCUUAGCAUAAUGUUGAGGCAUCAUCUUGCUCCAUUUCUGCAUCUUUGAGAAUGGUUUUCCUCAUCUCUGCUUCUCUCCAUGCUAUCUACUCGUUGUUUCUCUGCAUAAUGCAGACCUCGAACAAGGUGGCAUCAUCUUCCGUUUCUGCAUCUUUUGAGAAUGGUUUUCUUCAUCUCUGCACGUAUCUACUCAUCAUUGAUCUGUAUAAUGUUGAGCUUGAACACAGUAGCAUCAUCUUGCUCCAUUACUGCAUCUUUGAUAAUGGUUUUCUUCAUCUCUGCACCUAUCUCCACUCGUUGUUGCUCUGCAUAACGUUGAGAUUGAACACGCUGAGU